GACGAACGCUGGCGGCGUGCUUAACACAUGCAAGUCGAGCGGUAAGGCCCUUUCGGGGGUACACGAGCGGCGAACGGGUGAGUAACACGUGGGUGACCUGCCCUCCAGCUCUGGGAUAAGCCUGGGAAACCGGGUCUAAUACUGGAUAUGACUCCAUGACGCAUGUUGUGGGGUGGAAAGCCUUGUGCGGCUGAGGAUGGGCCCGCGGCCUAUCAGCUUGUUGGUGGGGGAUGGCCUACCAAGGCGACGACGGGUAGCCGGCCUGAGAGGGCGACCGGCCACACUGGGACUGAGACACGGCCCAGACUCCUACGGGAGGCAGCAGUGGGGAAUCUUGCGCAAUGGGCGAAAGCCUGACGCAGCGACGCCGCGUGAGGGAUGACGGCCUGGUUGUAAC
rnacentral:rRNA from 1 species